rnacentral:misc_RNA from 1 species
GAUGAAGAACGCAGCAAAAUGCGAUAAGUAAUGUGAAUUGCAGAAUUCAGUGAAUCAUCGAAUCUUUGAACGCACAUUGCGCCCGCCAGUAUUCUGGCGGGCAUGCCUGUUCGAGCGUCAUUUCAACCCUCAAGCACAGCUUGGUGUUGGGACUCGCGUUAAUUCGCGUUCCCCAAAUUGAUUGGCGGUCACGUCGAGCUUCCAUAGCGUAGUAGUAAAACCCUCGUUACUGGUAAUCGUCGCGGCCACGCCGUUAAACCCCAGCUUCUGAAUGUUGACCUCGGAUCAGGUAGGAAUACCCGCUGAACUUAAGCAUAUCAAUAAGCGGAGGA